CCUACGGGAGGCUGCAGUGAGGAAUAUUGGGCAAUGGACGAGAGUCUGAAGGAGCAAAGUAGCGUGAAGGAUGACUGCCCUAUGGGUGGUAAACUUCGUUUAUAUGGGAAUAAAAUGUUCAAAGUGUGUGAUUGUGUAUGUACCAUAUGAAUAAGGAUCGGCAAACUACGUGCCAGCCGCCGCGGUAAUACGGAGGAUCCGUGCGUUACCCGGAUUUAUUGGUUUUAAAGGGAGCGUAGGUGGAUUGUUAAGUCAGUUGUGAAAGUUUGCGGCUCAACCGUAAAAUUGCAGUUGAAACUGGCAGUCUUGAGUACAGUAGAGGUGGGCGGAAUUCGUGGUGUAGCGGUGAAAUGCUUAGAUAUCACGAAGAACUCCGAUUGCGAAGGCAGCUCACUGGACUGCAACUGACACUGAGGCUCGAAAGUGUGGGUAUCAAACAGGAUUAGAUACCCGUGUAGUC
rnacentral:rRNA from 1 species